rnacentral:lncRNA from 1 species
CCAAAGCUUAAAAUAAUUGUCGAUCACUUCUAGGAACCACUCGCGUUUCUUCAAAUCUUUGAAAAUUGGUGCCAAAGUACGAAGUUGGAGUUGUAAGAGUGCCUCGUUUCCGAGCAAGCCAUCUAAUUGUCUGAGCAAGGCAGCAUCUCCGUGAAGUUUCAACAAGCUGGCAUACGAGAAGAUGUAAUAACGUACUCGAAGUCUUUCAACAGCCCAAGCUUCUACUGAACGAUUUCCACUUGCGGAUUGUAUGGCACCCAUGUGUUCGGCGUACCAAGCUACCUUGGCCUACAUUACUGCAUUUGGUCCUUUAAAAAGAAGACGAAGAAGAAUGAGAAGAACAAAAAAGAAAGGAGGGAGAAAAAGAGGAAGAAAUAUCGUUCACGAUUACGAGCCGUAACUCGUCAACGCCUUAUUUAAACCGGCGUCUCGAAACAAGCUCGUUUAAAGAUGGAGCAAUUUCCAUUCAUCAUUGAUUCAACAAAAUAUAGUCGCGACAUAUUAAAUAAUCGGAGCGUAGAUUUUUCCUGUUAACGUUCCCAACAAACGUAACGUUUAGACAUGAUAUUGACAUGAAUUCACAUUUCCGAGUUAGUUCACAUUUAUUUGUAUUUGCGAUUGAACUUCUUGAUUACCAUCACCAAUAACAUAUAAUUAUUUGUAUAAUUGAAUUACAAAUGCAAAUUCUCUCUCUUUAUUUUCUCAUAAAUAAUCGCAAGAAAGUAAAAAAGAAAGAAGGUUGAAAAUUAUGGAACAUCUUCCAGGAAAAUCAUCAUUUUAGAUAGAAACUUUCUCUAUUUCAUUAACAAUCAUUGCUUAUCUAUCAUCGAAAAAUUAGUUUAAAACAGUACUUUCUCGUUGACAUUACAUAAUUACAUCUACUAACGAAGCACGCGACACAUCAGAUGUAAGAUGUAAGCAAUGUUAAUUCUUUAUACCUAUUCAUGUACCUCGAAUAUUUCUCAAACUUGUGGGAAAUUUAUCUCGUCUAGAUAAGGAAUAAAUUGUUCUCUCCUUACUCUAAUUACAAUAAAAAAAGGAUAUUGCGUUCGGUGUUUAUUUGAGGAUCGCACCGUAUCUUAACUGUAAUUGUAACGGACAACCUGGUUCCUUAACUGCAAUGAGUACAAGGCUGUAAUGCUGCAAUCUUACUUUCAGUUACGCUUGUGCUCGUGUUAUCCUGGCAACUUCUGCUAAAUAUUCUCGCUUCUCCCUUUCAUACUUUAGCAAGGUCGAUCGUAAUAAAUAAUAAAAAUGUUUAA